UGUCUCAAGACUAAGCCAUGCAUGUCUAAGUAUGAACGCUUCGUACUGUGAAACUGCGAAUGGCUCAUUAAAUCAGUUAUAGUUUAUUUGAUGGUUGUUUGCUACAUGGAUAACCGUGGUAAUUCUAGAGCUAAUACAUGCAGAAGGUCCCGACUUCUGGGAGGGACGUAUUUAUUAGAUCCAAAACCAGCGCGGGUUGCCCUCGGGCUCCCGGUACCUGGAUGAUUCAUGAUAACUUCUCGAAUCGCACGGCCUUUGCGCCGGCGAUGGUCCAUUCAAAUUUCUGCCCUAUCAACUUUCGAUGGUACGGUAGUGGCCUACCAUGGUUGCAACGGGUGACGGAGAAUUAGGGUUCGAUUCCGGAGAGGGAGCCUGAGAAACGGCUACCACAUCCAAGGAAGGCAGCAGGCGCGCAAAUUACCCAAUCCCGACUCGGGGAGGUAGUGACAAUAAAUAACAAUGCCGGGCUCUUGUAGUCUGGCAAUUGGAAUGAGUCCAAUCUAAACCCCUUAACGAGGAACAAUUGGAGGGCAAGUCUGGUGCCAGCAGCCGCGGUAAUUCCAGCUCCAAUAGCGUAUAUUAAAGUUGUUGCAGUUAAAAAGCUCGUAGUUGGAUUUCGGGGCGGCCCGGCCGGUCCGCCGCAAGGCGAGCACUGGUCGGGCGCCCUUCCUCUCGAAGGCUUCGACUGCUCUUCGUUGUGGUGGUCGAGGAGUUCGGGACGUUUACUUUGAAAAAAUUAGAGUGUUCAAGGCAGGCCGUGGCCUGAAUACAUUAGCAUGGAAUAAUGGAAGAGGACCUCGGUCCUAUUUUGUUGGUUUCCAGGGCCGAAGUAAUGAUUGAGAGGGACAGUUGGGGGCAUUCGUAUUUAAUUGUCAGAGGUGAAAUUCUCGGAUUUAUGAAAGACGAACAAGUGCGAAAGCAUUUGCCAAGGAUGUUUUCAUUAAUCAAGAACGAAAGUUGGGGGUUCGA
rnacentral:rRNA from 1 species